rnacentral:tRNA from 1 species
GGAGCUGUGGCUCAGCGGUAGAGCGUUUGUUUUGAAUGCAGAUGGUUUCUGGUUCGAUUCUUCAGCGAUUUAGAUCUG